rnacentral:rRNA from 1 species
AUUGAACGCUGGCGGCAGGCCUAACACAUGCAAGUCGAACGGUAACAGGAAGCAGCUUGCUGCUUUGCUGACGAGUGGCGGACGGGUGAGUAAUGUCUGGGAAACUGCCUGAUGGAGGGGGAUAACUACUGGAAACGGUAGCUAAUACCGCAUAACGUCGCAAGACCAAAGAGGGGGACCUUCGGGCCUCUUGCCAUCGGAUGUGCCCAGAUGGGAUUAGCUAGUAGGUGGGGUAAAGGCUCACCUAGGCGACGAUCCCUAGCUGGUCUGAGAGGAUGGCCAGCCACACUGGAACUGAGACACGGUCCAGACUCCUACGGGAGGCAGCAGUGGGGAAUAUUGCACAAUGGGCGCAAGCCUGAUGCAGCCAUGCCGCGUGUAUGAAGAAGGCCUUCGGGUUGUAAAGUACUUUCAGCGGGGAGGAAGGGAGUAAAGUUAAUACCUUUGCUCAUUGACGUUACCCGCAGAAGAAGCACCGGCUAACUCCGUG